rnacentral:lncRNA from 1 species
UUACAGUCUUUACAGUGGUAUGAAGGGGAAGCCUAAACCAGAACCGCCUAACCUCACCUGGCCAGGUCAGGGGAGCUGCUGCGGAACGUGAGGCUCAAACAGACAUGGCAGAUGAAUGGAAAUUGACAGAAGAGAAGGCGAAGGCCAACCAGCACAAAUGACUGGCACACACACCGGCGCCAAGAUAAAGGACCCAGAGGAGAGCUGGUGGAUGGUCCAUUGUACUGUGUCUGAAGACACCUCAAGUGGCUAUGGGACCACUAGCAUUAAAAUCACGCACUGGGAUACAAGUUGAAGUUUGAUAGCCAAAGCCCUAGAGUCUCCAUUGCUUGUGUGUAAUGGCCGGGGAGCUCUUGCAGUGCAAGUCUUACAGGGUCUUCCAGAACCAGCUCAGCAAGGGACUCCACGGGAGGCAUGGGGGACAGGCAUAUUUGCCGAACCACAAAAAGCAAAUGAAUGAAGCAAAUAAAAUGGCGUGCCUUCUGCGUGAUGAAAUACAGCAGUUGUCUUCCCCCACAGUCCCCCAGGCUCUCCUUCCUCAUCGAGAAGACCCACCGAGGGGAUAGUCUACAUCCUUCAGAAUAUUUGCUGCCAUGUUAAUUUGUACUGCAUGAACUUUCUCCUUGGACACAAUUUUGCCCCUGAUAUCUUUCAUCACUUUCUUCUGGCACCUGUUUCAUUUUUGCCUUUAGUCACAGAGUCUCGUUUAAAAAAAAAAAAUUGAAAUCUGUUCCUGGGGUGCGUCUUCUGGAUUUAUAGAGGUAUCUCUAUAAAUAAAAAUCUCAAUAACCAGGAAACUGAGUUCAGAAUGCUUCCUCUGCAACUGAGACCAACUGAAAGAAUGAAACAGAAAGGCAGAGCAUUCAGGAGUGAAACUUGAUAUCUGAACAGAGAGGCCUGUUCUGGAAUUUCCAAGGCUGUGGGCUCCAUCUCGGGCAGGAAGGCAGUGACAAAGGCCCUUCCUGGGGACUUCCUAGUAGGAUGCAGGGGUCUGUGUGGUUCCAUCCCUCUCUGUGUCAUCUAGUCCUAACCCUUCCUCUUCCCCGACCCCAGUCUCACCCACCAGCUGCCCCUGCCCCAGCUGCCCUGAUGGUUUUCUUCUAAAGAUGUUAGGACCCUCAUGUACAGCCUCUGCCUCUGCAGAAAAUGGGAAGAGCCUCCUCUGCAGAGCACACAAUGAUGGAUGAGGUCUGCUGUUCCUAGAACCCAGAAACUUGGCAUCUAGACCCCUGUGUUUGCCAUUCACCUCUUCUCAUGUAUCCCUAUUAUGAACAGCAAGGGCCACUGUCCAGGCAAAGUCAUUUCCUCUAUGGAAGGGGCAUCUCCCAGGAAUGUGAGAGUUUGCACUUGACAGACCCUGGAACUAAAUUACACAGACAACUGCUUACAGAUAACCCUCUUGGCCUUGUGGCUGCUCCCUUGUUAAACUGAAGGCACUACUAACCCGCCCCCAACCUUUUUUUUUUUUUUGAGACAAAGUCUCCCCGUUGCCCAGGCUGGAGUGCAGUGGCACGAUAUUGGCUCACUGCAGCCUCAAACUCUUGGCCUCAAGUGAUCCUCCUUCCUGAGUCUCCCAAAGUGGGGGGAUUAAAGAUGUGAACCCCCCUUUUCUUUGGGGCAGCAUGUUUCAUUUUUUGGUGAGACAAAAUCAUCCGUGCUGCCUUUGAGGUUCUGGUCACAUCAGUUAGUCACAGAGACACGGGACACACACAAGCUGCUUGGUAUUGCCGUCUAGUGAGCUUCCAUCUGCCCUGGGGCUAAUGCUCAGCUCAUUGGUGGGUUAAUUGUGUCAGGGCUUGCCAGUUGCCAAUCAAUAACUACUGUAACUCUUUUUUAGCAACAGAACUUUGAUCUUAUUUAGAACCACAGCGGCGCCCAGUUAAGUGGACUACAUUUCCAAGACUCCCUUGCAGCUUGACUAUGUGACUGAAUUCUUGCAGAUGGAAUACAGUCCUCCUGGGGUAUGCAGGCAAUUGGUAUCAGGUCCCUGAAGGACACCAAAAUCCAUGGAUGCUUAAGUCUCUUGUAUAAAAUGAUGUAGUAUUUGCAUAUAAUAUUUAUAUGUCCUUCUGUAAACUUUAAGUCAUCUCUAGAUUACUUAUGAUAGUUAAUACGAUGUAAAUACUGUGUAGUUAUUAUACUGUGAUAGUUGUAUUCUUAAGUUGUUGUAUUGUUAUUUUGUUUCUUUUUCUUGAUAUUUUUGAUCUGCAGUUGGUUGAAUUUGUGGAUGCAGAACCUGUGAAUGUAGAGGGCUGACUGUAUAUGCAGAAGAGUGUAGGACUUCCUGGAAGUCUCUUUAAAGGAAGCUAACUCAUCUGGGAGGAUAAUUCUUCCUCUUGUCAGCUGCCUAGAAAGUGUCCAAGAUAGCCAGUACUAUAGCAGCCAUCUUGGACCAUGAGGUUACUUGCCUUCAGGAUGGAAGCCAUUGCAAGGAUGCUGGAAAAGAAAGAUACAAGGAAUCCAGAUCCCUGAUUGCCAAGGAGCUUCCGUGCUAGCCCUGGACUGCCUGUCUCUGGGCUCCUUUGAAGUGUGAGAGAGAUAAGUUUCCACUUCACCUAAACCACUGCUAUUUUCAAUUUUCUGGCAUAGGCAGCUUAACCCAAUCCUAACAAAUGCAUUUAGCAUUGUAAGAGUGUUACCUUUGAAUUUCAUGACUAAAUAGAGGAUCAUUCUGUCAUCCUCCUAGGAUAUAACAAGCUAAAAGGAGCAGCAUGGAUGUUGGGGUUAACGUGAAUAGGUCUGAAUCCCUGCUUGGCUGCUAGCUGUGUGCUGCAGGCAAUAAUUCAGUCUCUCUGUACCUGUUUUGUCUCCCACAAAAUGGUGUGCAUUAAAUUAAUUAAUGCAUAUAAUAUGCGAUGCCCACAG